AACAUUAUAUUCUCUUAGCAAUUAGUAAGCAACCAGUACUUAGUACAAAGGCAUGUGCUCAGUAUAAAGCACUUGGUUCAGGCCAGGACAAAGGGCAUUAGGGUAACAGAGGAGGCAUGAGUCCCAUCCUUCAGAAAGUUUUAGUCCUCACAAAUGAACACCCUCCAUCGGGUCAUUAAACCGCCCUGUGAAAGGCUAAGGACCAUCAGCCUGGGUGAUUGACAAAGUCCUUCCUAGCUCUGAAGAUGGGUGGUCCAUUGUGUGGUCUGAUGUCAGAUAUGCAAAUGCAAUGCCACUUUUACCUGUGGGGAAACUGAGGCAUGUAGACGGCAAAGGAAAUAAGUGGAGCUUCGGUCCAUGCCCUCUCCUGUAUCUUACAAGAUGCCACCGGGAACUAAUAGUUGAGAGGCUGUGUGGGCCAGAACUGCCCUGGGUGCGUCUCACACCCGGUUCCACUCAGUUACCCUCCAACCAUAUGAGGAACUUUAUUUCCCUUUUCCUGGGGCUCCAGGAGGUUAGGGGGCCUGCCUGUGGUCACAUGGAGAAUGUGCCCCGUCUUGGAUUUGAGCCCAGUCUGCCUGACUCUAUGGCCCAGGUUCUCUCUACUAAAAGAGUUGCUCUAAUCAAAGAGUCAGCGUUGGAAAUGUGAAAGUCACUUCUGAACAAGGUCCACGGGUCCAUCUUGAAAGACUCGGCCCACAGCCUUAGAUGGUCUGAGGAAUUCGGAUCAUGUCAGCCUUUGUGUCAAUCUAGCAUUCUCACCAUUGUCCAGUGGCCAAGAUCCCUGCAAAGACUUAACAUAGAAAUAUUCUGAGAAAUAUGUGAAAAGGGCUCAAGCUCGCUGGUAAUCCUGGAAAUGCGAUCAGAACCACACCCAAGACACAUUUCAAGCCCAUUAGAUAGAAGUCUGUUAUCAGAGUUGAGCAAAGAGAGAGUAGUAGGGACUCUCCAACAUCACUGGAGGGGAUUCCAGAUCCUCUUUCAAGUAAACUUGCAAACACCCAAUUGUAUAUGCAGGCCUCUACCCUAGAAAAACUCUUGCAUGUGGAAAUAAAGAGACGCGUACAAAGAUGUUCAUAGAUGCAGUGUUUGUACUAGAAAAACAAAUAAAAAGAAAAAGGAGAGAAGCUGUCCGUACACAGGAGAACAGAUAAAUAAAUUAUGGUAUGUUCAUACUUGGAAUACCAAGUAACAAUGAAAAUGAUUGAACUACAAUAGAUCUACGUGCUAUUACACAGCUAAACCCCAGAAACAUAGUAUUGUGCAGGAACAAAAGCAGGCGGAGGGCAGGAUUUGUGUAAUAUGCUGACAUUUACAUAAAGUUUACCAACAUGCAAGGCAGUCCAUGUAUUAUUAGGAGUUCAAAAUGUAGUAAAAAGUGUAAAGCUUGCGUAGGGAUGACAAAGGUCAAGUUCAGGAGAGAUGGUCAUCUCAAGGUAGAAGGGAUAAUGGAGUCAGGAAGGAUGCAGAGGCCUUUACACCUGUAACGUUUUUGGGGGUUUUUUCUGGUGGGUUGGGUGCUGAGCAUGUAGGUGGUCACUGUUUUACUUUACAUUUUAUGUGUCCCUCAAAUAAUUCAUUAUCAACGAAAGUUAUUUAGUUGGUGUUGGCAGCAGCACAUUCAGAAGUCCAGUUCCAGGAUAUUAAGAAGCAUUAUUUAAAUGAUCGUUAAGUGGUUCAGUAAAUGUGGAAAACACUGGCUUAAAUAAAGUUAAGUAGGCUUUUU